rnacentral:rRNA from 1 species
ACGAACGCUGGCGGCGUGCUUCACACAUGCAAGUCGAACGGAAAGGCCCUGCUUUUGUGGGGUGCUCGAGUGGCGAACGGGUGAGUAACACGUGAGUAACCUGCCCUUGACUUUGGGAUAACUUCAGGAAACUGGGGCUAAUACCGGAUAGGAGCUCCUGCUGCAUGGUGGGGGUUGGAAAGUUUCGGCGGUUGGGGAUGGACUCGCGGCUUAUCAGCUUGUUGGUGGGGUAGUGGCUUACCAAGGCUUUGAUGGGUAGCCGGCCUGAGAGGGUGACCGGCCACAUUGGGACUGAGAUACGGCCCAGACUCCUACGGGAGGCAGCAGUGGGGAAUAUUGCACAAUGGGCGGAAGCCUGAUGCAGCAACGCCGCGUGCGGGAUGACGGCCUUCGGGUUGUAAACCGCUUUCGCCUGCGACGAAGCGUGAGUGACGGUAAUGGGUAAAGAAGCACCGGCUAACUACGUG